rnacentral:rRNA from 1 species
AUGUCAACCUCCACCGCCACCAUUACCUCCAGCCUCAACUACAACACCUCCGAGCCUCUCACCAGGACGAACUACGUCCUCUGGCGAGCUCAAGCACGAUCCCAGAUAAUGGGCGCCGGCUUGUAUGGCUACAUAGAUCAGACUAUAGAGGAGCCUCCCAAAACCAUCACCACCAAGGACAAAGAGGGCAAGGAUCAGUUCGUUUCAAACCCUGCCUACCCUCCCUGGCUCAUCCAGGAUCAGCAAAUCGUCGCCUACCUUCUUCGUAACCUCUCCAAAGAAGUGCUUGUUCAGGUGGCCUCGAUGGAAACUUCAUAUGCAAUAUGGACAGCCCUAAGCAAGAUGUUCUCUGCAGUCUCUCUCUCGCGCGUCAAUAACAUUAGGGCCUCCCUCACCAACGCCCAGAAGGGCACACUGCUG